UACAGAGGGUGCGAGCGUUAAUCGGAAUUACUGGGCGUAAAGGGUGCGUAGGCGGUUCGUUAAGUCUGUCGUGAAAUCCCCGGGCUCAACCUGGGAAUGGCGAUGGAUACUGGCGAGCUAGAGUGUGUCAGAGGAUGGUGGAAUUCCCGGUGUAGCGGUGAAAUGCGUAGAGAUCGGGAGGAACAUCAGUGGCGAAGGCGGCCAUCUGGGACAACACUGACGCUGAGGCACGAAAGCGUGGGGAGCAAACAGG
rnacentral:rRNA from 1 species